UUAGGUUGGUACAAAAGUAAUUGUGAGUUUUGCCAUUGAAAGUAAUGGCAAAACCUGCAAUUUCUCUUGCACCAACCUAAUAGAA
rnacentral:miRNA from 10 species